rnacentral:snoRNA from 1 species
UGUCACAUGAUGAGAUAAAGUUUACCGCCCCAGUCUGAUAUACAAUGACUGAUUGGUUUUAUCUGAAUGACA